AGAGAUAUGAAAAAGUUGAAAAAUUGCCCAGCCCCACCCCCUCACAAUAUCUAUUCACGGGCUAUAUGUGAAGUACGUUAAAAGGAGUUGGUCACUGUACUGACGGGCGAAUUUUACGUCGAUAGCUGAAGUACUUGGCAUCGGGAACAAUGAACGUUUUGUGGGCGAUCAUCUGGUUUCUUUGCCUGUGGUUUCUUGCCUGGCCCGUGGGUUUCUUCUGCGCUGGAUGGUACGUUUGUUUAUCGCCAUUUGAAGCUUGUGUUGAUGCCAUGAAGACCGUAACAGAGCUACUGAUGCGUGGCGUAAAAUUACCGCUCGAGGUCGCUCAACACAUGGUGGACGGAAAACAGGGAUGGUAACUGAAUGCCUUUGGAUAAAGAAUGAUGCCCUGUGACAGACAGGAAUAUUUUACUCAUGGACUGAGAGAGUCGUACAAUGUGAAGAGAGAACGAAACUUUAAUUUUAGCAGUUGAUCAGGCUGUAUUGAUUUGAAUCGGAACAUUCGAAUCCAUUUAUUUCUAAUAAUAAUGUAAGCUUAUCUCGACAAUGACUGUUGAUACGCGCGUUUGUAAUAAUUAUUCACAUAUUUAGAUGUUUCUUAAGUUUAUUGUUGGUUAGAUUAUCUAGACUCCGUUUAAUCCGAAAGCUGAAACUGUUAAAUGGAAGGCGUAUGGUUUAAUUACAGCUUCUAUCAAUGGAUGUUGGUGUGUACGCAUUCAUGGUAGUCGACUUUUCUGCCAAGCUCAAGUGAUUAUCUUUCCCGAAGAAAUCUGCAGGUGCCUUCAUGUUAUGUUGGAACCAAAAACCCGUGACUGGCGGAUGAUGCAGCUUUUCCUGAAGAAAAAAUCCACGCGGACACGCGCCUUUUGUUUGUUACAUGUUUACUCAGGGUUUCGAUCCUCAAUUUCUUACGAAUAUGGUAAUUCAUUUUCAUUUUCACAAGGCGUCAGUCAUUCAUUGCCCUGUUAGAAAUAAGCUUUAGUCUUGUCGUUUUAUUAAGUUAAUUUUACCUGCCACAUCAAAAACAAUGUGUUUUCAAAAUUGAUUUUUAUUCCGUCUUCCUCGCUGUCACGUACAUGCCACACAAAUGUCACAGAUUUUUCUCGAAUAUUUUGCCGCACGGGAGUGUCUUAGCACCUUACUCUCGUUCCUCUGGCCCAAGAGAGCGUCUGUGUAGAAAAAUUCACGAAAUUGAGCCAUUUAUUGCAACUCCUAGAUAAAUAUUGUUAUACAGUUUUAUUUAUAUGGUUACGUAUCAAGUAAGUCUCGAAAAUGAAGUUCCCUUUUACCAGCUUCUCACUAGGUAUAAAUAGCCAAAUGUGUGACCUUUGAGCGUUGCGUGACGUUUAAAUGAAAUUAAACAGCGAUGACAGCAAGAGCAACUCGUGACUAGCGGCUGACAAAACUACAGUAGGAACAGUCGUGCCAUAGAGGGCACAAUCACGCUAGUCCUGGAGGUUGAAUACUAAGUAUUAUACGUGCUCGAGGGGUCUCCUAUUAUAUCUUGUCAACUGAAGGGAAAGGUCAUUCAGGAAACAAAUCGAUCAACGUUCCUGGAUCCAGUAGUGUCGCAAAUAGCUAGGAAGUAGCCGUCUGGCCUGGUCUACAGUUAACAAUGAGUGCAAAGGGAGUGCUGUGGGCAAUCAUCUGGUUCUUUGUCCUUAUACUUAUUGCUUGGCCAAUAGGAUUCUUUUGUGCUGGAUGGUACGUGUGCCUGUCUCCUUUUGAAGCAUGCAUCGAUGCAAUGAAGAACGUGACAUCGUUACUCAUGAGCGGCGUGACUUUGCCGUUUCACGUCACGCAUCGCAUGAUAAAAGGCCAGAGUUACUCGAAAAUUUGAGGAUUUGAAACAAUAAUAAACCAUAUAUAAUAUGUACAAUGAAACAUGAUAUAUAUUUUGCAGUGCUAAGACAUUAUUGCGGAAAGAUUUAAUGAACAAUUUACGAAAAUAUAGAGAGCGAGUUGUGUCGACCAAUAAAGAAAUAAGUGUAGUCUUCAAGUGUUAACUGAAAAAAAUAUUAUACAUUUA
rnacentral:lncRNA from 1 species